rnacentral:other from 1 species
UUAACCCUCGGGUACCCGUUAAUCUUGACUAAGUCCCUGAGCCGAUAAGUAUUACCCUGGUGAAUUAGGUUGAUUACUAUUGUGUAAACUCGACUAGUAUCGAGAAACCUGCGGUAAGCACUGAUACACCACCUUGACCUUCGGGUUCAAGGUCACAGUCAACAGCGGUAUCCUUGGGUUAACU